CGUGAAAUCGAGUAGGGCGGGACACGUGAUAUCCUGUCUGAAUAUGGGGGGACCAUCCUCCAAGGCUAAAUACUCCUGACUGACCGAUAGUGAACCAGUACCGUGAGGGAAAGGCGAAAAGAACCCCUGUGAGGGGAGUGAAAUAGAACCUGAAACCGUGUACGUACAAGCAGUAGGAGCACCUUCGUGGUGUGACUGCGUACCUUUUGUAUAAUGGGUCAGCGACUUAUAUUCAGUGGCAAGGUUAACCGUAUAGGGGAGCCGUAGCGAAAGCGAGUCUUAACUGGGCGCUCAGUCUCUGGAUAUAGACCCGAAACCGGGUGAUCUAGCCAUGGGCAGGUUGAAGGUUGAGUAACAUCAACUGGAGGACCGAACCGACUAAUGUUGAAAAAUUAGCGGAUGACUUGUGGCUAGGGGUGAAAGGCCAAUCAAACUCGGAGAUAGCUGGUUCUCCCCGAAAGCUAUUUAGGUAGCGCCUCGGACGAAUACUACUGGGGGUAGAGCACUGUUAAGGCUAGGGGGUCAUCCCGACUUACCAACCCUUUGCAAACUCCGAAUACCAGUAAGUACUAUCCGGGAGACACACGGCGGGUGCUAACGUCCGUCGUGGAGAGGGAAACAACCCAGACCGCCAGCUAAGGUCCCAAAGUAUUGCUAAGUGGGAAACGAUGUGGGAAGGCUCAGACAGCUAGGAUGUUGGCUUAGAAGCAGCCAUCAUUUAAAGAAAGCGUAAUAGCUCACUAGUCGAGUCGGCCUGCGCGGAAGAUGUAACGGGGCUAAGCAAUACACCGAAGCUGCGGCAAUGUCUUUUAGACAUUGGGUAGGGGAGCGUUCUGUAAGCCGUUGAAGGUGAAUCGUAAGGUUUGCUGGAGGUAUCAGAAGUGCGAAUGCUGACAUGAGUAACGACAAAGGGGGUGAAAAACCUCCUCGCCGGAAGACCAAGGGUUCCUGUCCAACGUUAAUCGGGGCAGGGUGAGUCGACCCCUAAGGUGAGGCCGAAAGGCGUAAUCGAUGGGAAACGGGUUAAUAUUCCCGUACUUCUGACUAUUGCGAUGGGGGGACGGAGAAGGCUAGGUGGGCCAGGCGACGGUUGUCCUGGUUCAAGUGCGUAGGCUUGAGAGUUAGGUAAAUCCGGCUCUCUCUAAGGCUGAGACACGACGUCGAGCUACUACGGUAGUGAAGUCAUUGAUGCCAUGCUUCCAGGAAAAGCCUCUAAGCUUCAGAUAGUCAGGAAUCGUACCCCAAACCGACACAGGUGGUCGGGUAGAGAAUACCAAGGCGCUUGAGAGAACUCGGGUGAAGGAACUAGGCAAAAUGGUACCGUAACUUCGGGAGAAGGUACGCUCUUGAUGGUGAAGUCCCUCGCGGAUGGAGCUGACGAGAGUCGCAGAUACCAGGUGGCUGCAACUGUUUAUUAAAAACACAGCACUGUGCAAAAUCGCAAGAUGACGUAUACGGUGUGACGCCUGCCCGGUGCCGGAAGGUUAAUUGAUGGGGUUAGCGCAAGCGAAGCUCUUGAUCGAAGCCCCGGUAAACGGCGGCCGUAACUAUAACGGUCCUAAGGUAGCGAAAUUCCUUGUCGGGUAAGUUCCGACCUGCACGAAUGGCGUAAUGAUGGCCACGCUGUCUCCACCCGAGACUCAGUGAAAUUGAAAUCGCUGUGAAGAUGCAGUGUACCCGCGGCUAGACGGAAAGACCCCGUGAACCUUUACUACAGCUUGGCACUGAACAUUGAACCUACAUGUGUAGGAUAGGUGGGAGGCUAUGAAGACGUGACGCCAGUUGCGUUGGAGCCGUCCUUGAAAUACCACCCUUGUAUGU
rnacentral:rRNA from 1 species